CCAGGAUUGUCUCGAUCUCUUGACCUCGUGAUCCACCCACCUCGGCCUCCCAAAGUGCUGGGAUUACAGGCGUGAGCCACAGCGCCCAGCCUUGGGCCGGGUCUUUCUAACUUCUAGUCUAGUACUCUUGAGAAGACAAUGGAAAAAGAAAAAAAAAAACCCAUCCCAAAGUCAAGGUGGGUCAUGUAUCUAUUUAGUUGCUUAUCACAAGCUUAUUGGAAGCCAACUGUGUGCAAGAUACCAUGCUGGGCAUGGUCAUUCAGGGGUGGAGAAAGCAAAUGGCUUCUUGCCUUUAUGGAGCAGAUGGAGAGGAAAGCCCUGAAAUUCGGUGUUUGGAGACUUGGGGCUGCCUUGGUCAGGGGAUUCCAGGGAAUGAAAAGCCAAAGAAAGAUAUCCUUUCUUUGCCUCUUACGGCACCAGACCAUCUCUGGUUUGAUUUCCUCGUGUUUUUCAGAAGCUGCACCUAAAGUCAAGAAAGUUAAGUAACUUCUCAAGGUCAUACACAGAGACAGAAAUGCAAACCAGCUCUCUUGGCUUUAAGGCUCCUUUCCUGUCAGCCUGGAGCUCCCUAUUAAUGGCAGGAUGGGGACUUCCUAACUCUACAAGCUCUAAGUUCUGUCUGAUGUCUUCUCACUACCCAAUAGUGAAGGAAGAGAUGCUGUGCCACCCAUGCCCAGGUGAAGGGUCUCCAUUUUCCUCAGUCUGUGCUCUGGUAGGAGAAUCCGCUGAAUUUUGCUGCUUUGAGUAAUCUGGGGCUUUGGGGUCAGGAGCUGGGAGGUGCACGUUGAACACGGCAGAAGAAGAGCAAGGCCUACACCUGUGUGGGACGUAGCACUUGGGCCAUUCUGCAAGAAUGUAUGUGCACAUCUGUGUUGCUGUUUCUCUGAUACCAGCACUAGAAGGGUUAAGACGUCCUAGCCCAGGGGAUGGAGAAGUUGUCUGCACAGGAAGCUUCUCUCCCAGUCCCAAAGGCCUGGGAGAGGGGGAAGGGGAGUGAUUUUCUCAUCUCUUUCCCAGGCUCCUCAGCCUCUCAGGGGACCCAGCUACAUGCCGGAGAGGUGGCCCUUGACCCGUUCCCCUCCAGAGGCCCUCUCCAGCCCGAGAAAAGUCUGAUCCCGCACAAGGUGCUGGAGCACUGGGAGAGUGGGACCCCUCCCAACUUCCUCACCUCGUUUUUUCCCACCAUCUCAAUUAUUCCUUCCUCAUUAGUGCCUACCCCACUCCUGUCCCAUAUGCACCAUAUUCAGACCCUGAACUUCUUCCCCCACCCCAGCUCUGGGCCCUCAGUUCUCUCUUCCAGCCCCCGCAUUUGUAAUCUUCUAAAAAUAAAAGCCUGUGAUUCAAGUAGGCAACUCCGGAAAUAUACAAUCCAGCCCAGGCAUCCGUUGGGUGGGGGACAAGGAAGGGCCCACAUACAGAGAAAUACCCAGACCCAGCUCACCCCCCAGGUAAACACAGGAACACAGUCUGUUCCUGAGGAGAAAUAAGGCAGGGGGAGGAGAAUACUGCCAGGUGGUGCUCUUGAACUAAGGUCCCUAGCAAAAGAGUCUGGGGUCUCCUCGUGGCCUCCUGUCUGUCACCAUAAGCCAUUGUUCCCUCCUACUUUCUCAGCAAUGGCUCAGAGAAGUGGGGGCUGCUUCCCCAAGCCACCAGCCCUGACCAUCUAGAGUCUGGACCAAAAUCUUUGGAAAUCCAGGCAGCUUUGGGUCCUUUCCCUUGGAGGGCGUCCUGGUCCCAGGGAUGUGGAAGUGGGCCACUUCAGGCACAGCUGUUCAGAGGCAUAUAUUCCCCAUCCCCAUUGCCUCCUUCCGCACCCUGGCCAGGCCUGAGGGCAAAGGGAAUCCAGGAGCUAUAUCAUCUAAGAUUCCCCAUGGGUUUCCACGGAAAGGGAGGCUCUCCAGUGGUCUGAAGGGACUCCAGCCCCGACCUGCGCCACAUCCUCAGUGUGACAGAAAGACUAGGAUCAAAUCACCCUGGACUUUGGAGAUAGUCAUUCCCAUACUGGGCCAUAUGGACUUCUGGCUGGAAUUUAUGUAACUGCUCAAUCAUAGUACAUUUGGGGACCUCACAAAUUAUAGUAAUAAUUAAUUAGAAGAACUAUGGCUAACAUUUUUCAAGCACUUACUAUGCGCCAGACCUGGGCCAAAUACUUCACAUGCAUCAUUCUCACUUGGUCCUGUCAGGAACUUCCUUUUAUCAUCCCUAACUUCUGGGUAAGGAAACUGAGGCCUGGAUCGCUCACAGAGCUGGCCCUAGGUCACACCAGUAAAUGGCAAAGCUGAGACUUGAACUCAGGUCUGCUUGACUCCACAGCCUAACCUCUGUGCCAGGUUCCCCUUAACCUCUGUGCCUGUGCCAGGGCAUGACGAUGUGGAACCCUGCUGAGAGACAUCUGAAAAGCAACUGUGGUCUCAGGCUCAGGUGGGCACCACUCAUGUCCUGGGGAUAGAAGUCUACUGGGAAGCUGAGGUUUCUUUCUGUGCCACAUGGAAGAGUCAGCGGGCAUGACACAUGGGGUCAGACGAUCCCUGGCUCCUUCCACACCCCACUGCACAGCCUCAGGAAGGCAGCAGCGGCCAGCUGUAGGGUCUCUGGGAAGUUGCCCCGUCAGCCUCAUCCCUAGCUCCUCAUCCCCAGCUGACUGGCAUCCUGACUGCCAGCCUACAGGCCUGAUUGGCCCUUGCCAACCCCAGCCAUGCAGCCUUCCAGACAGCAGAAGUCCUGUUUUCUUCCAUUUCCUUCUCAGGGAGGAGGAAAGGAGUGCUGGGCAGGGCAGGCAGCCUGGACAGGGCCCCAACCACAGCAUUGUCAAGGAGACAAAGAACUGACCAGAACCUGCCCCUCUUGUCAGCAUCUUUGGGUCUCUUCCGAGCCUUUGUCAGCCCAGCACUUCUGCUGUUCCCCCACAUCUGGCUUUUGCAUCCUAGGGAAGAAUCAGUUCUUCCUCUUAGGCCCACAGGAGCUGUCCAGCUCUUCCUAUACAUGAGCAAUCCCACUCAAGAGCAUAUAUUUUGAAUUACAGCCUUUUUUGGUUUAGACAAAAUUUAUCACAUGCAAAUUAGGUGGUGUGCCUGGAGGAUCCCACCAUUAAAGUUUAUGUAUAUAUGUUGAGUGUAGUAGGGGUCACUCAAGGGACCCCUUAGACAUGUUGCCCAUGAUAAUACUAAUGCUAACAUUACCGGCUACCAUUUAUUAUCAGCCACAAGCCUGACACUGUGCUAAGCCCUUUACAUGCAUUCUUUUUUUUUUUUGAGAUGGAGUCUCACGCUGUCACCCAGGCUGGAAUGCAAUGGCACAAUCUCGGCUCACUGCAAGCUCCACCUUCAAGUGAUUCUCCUGCCUUAGCCUCCCGAGUAGCUGGGAUUACAGGCGUGUGCCACCACGCCCGGCUAAUUUUGUAUUUUUAGUAGAGAUGGGGUUUCUCCAUGUUGGUCAGGCUGGUCUCAAACUCCCAACCUCAGGUGAUCCACCCGCCUUGGCCUCCCAAAGUGCUGGGAUUACAGGCGUGAGCCACUGCGCCCAGCCUCAUGCAUUCUUAUUUAAUACUCAACAACCUUAUGAGUUAGGUGCUGCUUGUCUUCACUUUACAGAGGAGAAAACUGAGACCAAAAUCUCAGUAAGUAGUUGAGCCAGGAUUUGAACCCAGACCUAUAGCAUGUAGGGCUUUCUGUUUUCCCUCCCUCCCUCCCUCCCUUCCUUCCUUCCUUUCUCCCUCCCUCCCUUCCUCCCUCCUUCACUCCUCCUUAUUUUUCUUUCUUUCCUUUCUUUUUUCUUUCUUUCUUUCCUUCCUUCCUUCCUUCCUUUUCUUCCUUUUUUUUUUUUUUUUUUUUUUGAGACAGGGUCUUGCUCUGUUGCUCAGGCUGGAGUGCAGUGACAUCACCAUGAUUCACUGUAGCCUUGAACGCCCCCACCCCCACAGGCUCAAGAGAUCUUCCUGCCUCAGGCUCCCAAAUAGCUGGGACCACAGGCAUGCGCCACCACACCCAGCUAAUUUUUAAAAUUUUUGUAGCAAGACAGACUCUUGCUAUGUUGCCCAGGCUGGUCUUGAACUCCUGGACUCAAGCAAUCCUCCUGCCUCAGCCUCCCAAAGUGCUAGGAUUACAGGCAUGAGCCACCGUGCACAGCCACAUGGGCUUUCUUCUGGUCAUUCCGCUCUUGGCUGGUUGGCCCUUGUGCAUGCCCCACCAGUGCACAUGCCCAUCUGAUAAAGUUGGUAGCAUUUCCUGAAACUCUAAAACUGCUCCAGGCAGUUCUGAGGAGAUAAGACAUGUCCUGCAACCUGGGUUGGGCUUUGCUUUAAGCCUCUAAUUGGCUGCUAGCCAGCACCUGCCUGACUCUACCAAACUCUUCUGAUCAAUAACUAGUGGAUGCUUUUACACUCGUGAAGCAUGGUUAAGUCCAUCUUAUUAUGGCAACUCCUGAUAGUUUCCCCCACCAAAGAAUCCCUUCACCUCUUUCAUGUUUGUCAGUUGAGCUACUAAUUUAUAUGCUCCCUUUGUCCUUUGCUUUUAGGUCCUCCCUGAUCCUCCCUCCCACUGUGACCUUGGGGGUCCAGGAUAAAUUCCAUUAAAACUCCUGCUCCCUGUUCUUACCAGGAUGGCCUUGAUACAUAAAUUUACCUCUAGCCCCACUGUCUGUCUAUCCUGUUAUCUCUUUCUUAAUAUUUCUUUGGUCUUAUUCCUCCUGCUCCUCCUCUGACUGUCUCUGAUGUCUCGAUCACUGCCUCCCUCCCCUGAGCCAAUGCCACGGAACCGCCCAACAUGUGUAAGUGUGACUGCCUGGAAAAUGUAACCUUCAAAGAGCCUGAAGUUGAGUGACAGUAAACAGAACCUUGGAGACCCAGACAUCAUCUAGGGUUUACAUGGACUCAGCGGCAGAGACUUGGAAACAAGGCAAGAUGAGAGAGAGGGAGGGAUGGGGAUGAUCAAAAGAAUGAGCUGGAGGGAAAAGUGGGAACUAGGGAGAAGUAAUAUUGAUUCAACCAGGCCACACAAUCCUUGCUGUCAAUGAGAGAAGGGCCUUCAGAGAUCAGCUAGUCCAGGAGUGGCAAAGAUGUUUCAUGUCAUGAGCUAAUGUUGAAUGAUGAGUAGCAGCUUCCUGGAAUGCAUCCUGAAAAGAGAGUGCUGUAGUUGAUUAGCAAUGUCUGCCAUGGGCAUUGGAUGAGAAAUGGUGGCAUGUGUGCUAGGAUUUACCUCUUUGAUCUAAUUCAACCUCUUCACUGUAGUACAACCCAGGAGUCCGCAGGGAAGGGACUUGUCCAAGGUUUUCACAGCAAGUUGCAGGCAGAUCUCAAAGCUUUUGCGAUCUCCUGAAACCCAGGUGGAAUUUGCAAAACUAGGUAUUGACAAGGGACUCAGGGAAAGUGGUGAGUUUCAGAAGCCCUGAGUGUGGGAUAACUAGAAAAGGAGCUUCCACUCUGAGCUGUGGAGAAGAAUGUGGAUGCAUUGCAGACCAGACACGGGUGAGUGCUUGGUUCUCAUGGAGUGAUCAGUUAUCUGGAUCUGCCCAGCACCCUGGAUACCUUUUUCACCUUUUUCCUCCCAGGGAGAAAAAAGAAACCCUUUAGAGCAGAGGCUUUGGCUCUCUCUAGACAAAGGGUGGAGAACUCAGUGAGGAAGAGAAGAGGAGGGAAAAUGGUCCUGGGCUGGGAUGGCACCCUUAGGGGCAGAGCCACUGACUAUGUGGCAAUGGAAAGGGCCCUGAAAGAAGGUGGCAGGUAGGAGGAGCUGAAAGCCAGGCAGGAGGCACCUGUGUGUUGGUGGGUGGGCCAGAGAAGAAGAAAGAGCCUCCAGGUGACAAUGCAGAAUGGGGAUAAUGAUACCCUGACAAAGCAGCAGAGCUUGGAGCCCAGCCCAGCCAGGGGGUCUGGAACAGCUAAGCCGCAAUGCACCACUCACAGGUGGAGGAUGUGGGCCAGUGGGUGGGAUGGAGAUGGGGGCUGAGGUGGCCCAGGACCAGUGCAGCCUUGGAGGUUUGCUCCAGAGUUUUUGUCUCUGUUGUUCUUCCCUUCUCUUUCUUUCCCAUCCCAUCUCUUACUUUCUCUUUUCUUCCUCCCUCACCCCUCUAUACCACAGAGUCUCCACUGGGAGUUGAAAUAGGUGAGUAGUGAGAGUGGUGGUGACAGAAAGAUCUGGAAGCUGCUUUAAUUCAGAUCAUCUGCCUAAGGCUAUGAAAAGAAACUAGACUGCAAGUGUCCCAACAGCAGAGAAUCAGAUCUGGAUGCCAUACCCAGUUUUUCAUAAGACCUAACUGAGAUCUAGAAGGUGAAGAACUCCCCGAUGUCAGUGUCAUGGUCAGACAGUCAAGUCUCCCAUCUUCCUUCCUUGUCUCUGUGACCUAAGCUGAUCUUACCCCAGGAUCCCAGGGUGGGCACGUAACUUGACCUGGUCAAUCUGUGUCUUCCAUCUCCAGGACACGGUGACUCACUAAAAGUUAAUCUGGCUGGGUGCCGUGGCUCACGCCUGUAAUUCCAACACUUUGGGAGGCCGAGGCGGGUGGAUCACAAGGUCAGGAGUUCGAGACCAGCCUAACCAAUAUAGUGAAACCCCAUCUCUACUAAAAAUAGAAAAAUUAGCUGGGCGUGGUGGCGGGUGCCUGUAAUCCCAGCUACUCGGGAGACUGAGGCAGGAGAAUUGCUUGAACCCAGGAGGCGGAGGUUGUGGUGAGCCGAGAUUGUGCCACUGCACUCUAGCCUGGGCAACAGAGCGAGACUCCUUCUCAAAAAAAAAAGAAAAGAAAAAAGAGUUAAUCCAAUAAUAUUAGCAGUGGAUCUUUUGCUGAACUAUUGAAAGAUGAGUGGGUUCUUUCUGUCGGGUUUGCCACACUGGUCAGUGUAAGACUGGAGCUUCUUAAACUGCUUGGAAAGUGGCUAUCAGAGAGUAAAGCUAACACAAUGGAGAAAGACCCAAAAGUUGGAGUGAGGCAGAUGCCAGGUGACAAUGUCUGUGCGCCUUGAUUCAGCUAUGCCUGAAGUCUAUUCCUGUGCUUUUCAGUUAUGUGAGCAAAAAAGCUUAAGCCAGUUUGAGUUGUAUUUUUGUCAUUUGCAUCUAAGAGACUCUAAGUCCACUUAGAGAAACAGAGGGAGAGAGGCUGGGUGCGAUGGCUCACGCCUAUAAUCCCAGCACUUUGGGAGGCCGAGGUGGGUGGAUCACCUGAGGUCAGGAGUUCAAGACCAGGCUGGCCAAUAUGGUGAAACCCCAUCUCUACUUUAAAAACAUAAAAAAAAUUAGCCGGGUGUUGUGGCACAUGCCUGUAGUACCAGCUACUCAGGAGGCCAAGGCAGAAGAAUUGCUUGAACCCAGGAGGCGGAGGUUGCAGUGAGCCGAUAAUUGCACCACAGCACUCCAGCCUGGGCAGCAGAGUGAGACUCUGUCUCAAAAAAAAAAAAAAAAAAAAAAGAGAGGAGAAACAGAGGCAGAGAAAGACAACCUAGAGAGAGACACAACUACAGGGAUGAGGACUGAGUCUGAUGGGAAAGCAGGUGUGCAUGGGGGUGGGGUUGUCCUUUAGGAUCACUGAACUGACAUUCAACAGUGAAGCAGGAAUAACAUAACUUAUCGGAAAGAACACACAGCCAAAGAUGAUUUUCCAGAUGGGCCAGUCUGAGGUUUCAUGAAAGCUUUUUUGCUGCUACAUAGGCUGUCUGUGUAAUGACAGUAGUCUAUCUGAGCUUCCAGUCUGCACAGGGUGUGGGUCUACUUGGGGUGGGGAGGAAGACAAGGUCAUUGGAGUUUAUCUGAACAGUCAGCAAUCAGUUGCAACCAAUGUCCCUACUAACAACUCAUCAUGUAAUCCUUGCUCCAAGACCAAUCUUUAUCUAUCAAUCAAUCAAUCUAUCUAUCUAUCUAUCUAUAGACAGGGUCUCGCUCUGUCACCCACGCUGGAGUGCAGUAGUGCGAUCAUGGUUCACUGAAGGCUCGAACUCCUGGACUCAAGCAAUUCUCCCACUUCAGCCUCCAGAGUAGCUAGGACUGCAGUUGCCUGCCACCAUGGCUUGCUAAUUUCUUCCUUCCUUCCUUUCUUCCUUUCUUUUUUUUUUUUUUGACGGAGUCUGGCUCUGUUGGCCAGGCUGGAUGCAGUGGUGCCAUUUUGGCUCACUGCAACCCCCGCCUCCCGGGUUCAAGCGAUUAUUCUGCCUCAACCUCCCAAGUAGCUGGGAUUAUAGGUGCACGCCACCACACCCUACUAAUUUUUGUAUUUUUAGUAGAGAUGGGGUUUCACCGUGUUGGCCAGGCUGGUCUGGAACUCCUGUCCUCAAGUGAUCUGCCUGCCUUGGCCUCCCAAAGUGCUGGGAUUACAGGCGUGAGUCACCACACGUGGCCACCUCUGGCUAAUUUUUGUACUUUUAGUUGAGACAGGGUUUUGCCGUGUUGGCCAGGCUGGUCUCAAACUACUGGCCUCAAGUGAUCCACCCGCCUUGGCAUCCCAGAGUGCUGGGAUUAUAGGUAUGAGGCACCACGCCCGGCCAAUUUCCUUUUUAAUUGUAGAGAUGAGGUCUCCCUAUGUUGCCCAGGCUGUUCUUGAACUCCUGGGCUCAAGCAAUCCUCCUGGCUCAGCCUCCCGAGUAGCUGGGAUUACAGGCAUGUGCCACCAUGCCCUGCUAAUUUUGUGUUUUUAGUAGAGAUGGGGUUUCUCCAUGUUGGCCAGGAUGGUCUCAAACUCCUGACCUCAGGUGAUCCACCCGCCACAGCCUCCCAAACUUGGGAUUACAGGCAUGAGCCACCAUACCCGGCGCUCCUCCUUUCUUACAGCUACAUAGUCAUUCAGUUUAUUUAUCCAGUCCCUUACUGAUGGACAUUUAGUUUGUUUCUGAUAUUUUGCUUCGCAAACAAGAACAUCUAAUACACUUAGUGCACAUGUAUGAGUGUUUCUUGAGGAUUUAUUCCUAGAAGAGAGAUUGCUGGCUCAAAAUAUGUGUGAAUUUUUCAUUUUGAAAAAUACUGCCAAGCUGGAGUGGAGAACUUUUUUCUGUGAAGGAGCCCUCCAUCCCUAGGGCUGAACCAGUGAUGAAAGACACUCCGGGUAGAAAGAGCAUGGACUUUCCAUUCAGAUGUAUUUGGGUUCAAAUCCCAGUUCUGCCACCUUUUUCCUGUGUGACCUUGGUUAAGUCACUUAACCUCUCUGAUUUUCUGUUUCCUUAACUGCCCAGUGGAAAUUGUAAGAGCCGCCUCACAAAGCUGUUGCAAGGAUCAAAUGGCAUCUUGUAGGUCAAUCCUCUAGUGUGGGCCUGGUACGCAGUAGGCUCUUGGCCCAUGUUAGUUUCCUUUCCCUGACUGAACCCUUUUCUGCAUCCAUCAUGGAAGACAAGCUCUGGGGAGUGGCUGGGGAAGGUGAUUUAUUAAUGAACGUCACACAGAAGUCAGGACUCCACAGUGGCUCCUUCUAAAGGUCACCUCUAAAGGCAACUCUUAGAGGUAAGGACCAUUUCACGUAAAGUUGUAAGGAUCUGCUUUUGAGAACACAGCCUAGGGUGCCGGCAGAGAUCAGACCUUACUGGAGGCCCUCUUCCUAAAUGAUCCCUUCAUCCCAGACACUGCCCUCCAUGCCUCAGUCUCUGCAGAAGAGGAGAAAGAGAAUCCUCCUCAACAAGAGGAGGGUGGCUGGCUUUUACACAGGGAGUGGCUAGACUGGUCUCUUUGCAGAGAAUAGAACCAGAAAACAGACAUCAGACAGACUGAGGUCGGGCAGCAGGGUGACAUUUCUGUCUUGGACACACAGCAUGAGUGUGAGAGAAGCAGCAGGGUGCCCCACUGGAGGUCCCUACCCAGGAUGGCCUAUCCAUCUCCCUGUCUUGGUUCAGCGGGAGAGGUCUGGAAAUCCUUUGGAGGUGGUGGCCAGAUUGCAUCCAUAGUCCCAGCCAGACCCUCAGCAAUGCCAAGAGCCUCUUAGCUGCAGGUCACUGUGCUCCACUGUCUGUAGGCCACUGCCCCACCUUCAGGGCUAUAGUUUCUUUCUUCUGGAAACCACACAGGACAUGAGAAUCCCAGACUGGGCUGCCCUUCCUGGAAGAGGAUGUGUGUGUGAGCCCAGCAGCCGCUGUGAUGGGGCCCGAGGUGGUGAUAUUGGCAAAAAAAAGCGGGAGCUAAGCAGCAUGGUGGUAGCAGUGGUGACAAGGCCUCCAGUACAUGUAGCCAUGAUGAGUGACACUCAGUAGGGUAGGCUGUGGUGCCUUUAUCCAGAGUCUAAAUGCUUGCUUUCAGUUCCACCUCCAUAUAUUACAUGCUGUGUGGCCUGGGGACAGUAGCUUUCCCUUUCUGACCUCGGUUUCUUCAUCAGUAAAAUGAAGACGCUAAUACCACCUGUCCUGUCUUCCUCAAUGUCUCCAACCAGCAGGUGCCUUUAACAUGCCACGAGGCAAGAGUGAACUCAGGUGGAGGUACUUUGCUAAAAGCAGCCCAGGUAGGAGGAGAUGACUGAGUAGAACUGGCCGUGUUAUCCUCAGAAUGAUUUCUUGCUUCCCCAGGAGACUCCUGUUGCUGUGACGAUUUUUCCUGGUUCUCAGUCCCUGGACUCUGGGAUAGCUGAGAUCUUCUGGCUCUCGCCUCACAUAGCAUCUCACAGUGAUGUCCUGGCUUCCUGCCUAGGCCCCAAUCACCAGUUCUGGUGCUGACCCUGCAGGUCCUAGCUCCCUCCCAGCCGGCCUAGAGACAGGGCCCAGGCUCAUUGGAAGGAACAACAGGAGACUUGCCUGAAAGCCAAAUGUUCUACCCAACAGGACCUGAAUAUGGUGGCCAAGGGGCUGUACCUGGGCAGUCUCACCCAAGGGACACUUCUCAGGGGUCAGGAGAAUUUCAGCUCUGUGUUUACACAUGAUUCUAGGCUGAGGGAGAGAGAAAAAGCAGGGUAGGGGGUGGCAGAUUAGGCGAGGGAAUGUGUCCCCUAGAUGGUCCCUUAGCUCAUAGUGGAAGUGGGCUCUAGAGCGCCUUGCCCAUGCCCUCUUCAUGCUCUAGAGAGGUGGGCAAAGGACAAAGUAUGCAACUACCCAGGAGAACCAGCCUCCAGAUUGAGAUUGGAGAUGAAGGCCACUCAGUCCCCUCCAUUGCAAAAAGAAUAAAAGAAAGGAGUAGGAUUGGCCAUUGCUUGCAAAUAAACAGGAGGGGCAGUGUUGGGGUAAUGACCUCCAUCCGGGGAGGGUCAGGAAGGGAGCUGUCCUUUACUGGGCACCCAGGAGAUGCACCUGCACAAUUUCAUUCAUUCUCACGACCACCUUGUUAGGUAGGCACUAUCUCUGUGGCUCCAUUUGGCAAAUGAGAAGGAUGAAGGUCUGAGAAGUCAAGUUACACUGCUAGGAAGAGGUUGACUUGGAGUGGAAACCCAGGACUGCCUGUCUGACUGCUGAAUGGGUGCUUUGCGUUCCUUACCUGCCCUCCCAGGGCUCCAGACCGUCCCUCCUGCACAUCUGCCUCUCCCAGGCCGUGCCUGCAUGUCCCCAGCCCCCUCCAACAGCUCCAUCUCCCGAGAGCUCCUUCAAUCUCCUCACUCACUCCUCACUCUUGCUUCCUCUUUGGAAUCCAGCCACAGGCUUUUUUCUUCCAUCUGAGGGAGAGAAAAUGGUCUCAUUCCCCACCCCCAGGUCUUUCCAUCCUCUCAUCCAUCCAAACCUAAGCGUCUCUCUCUCCUCCCCUCCCCUUCUCUUAUUUUUUUUUUCUUUCUGUUUAUCCAUCACUAGAAUCCACCCCCCUUCCCUCUUGCCUGUAGGUUCUGUGGCUAUAAACAAAUCAUAACUUUUAUUAAAUUUAAGAUUACUUUUUAAUGGAAUCAAUUUCUUGUGUGGUGCUUCUCUGCCUGCCCGCGGGCUCUGCCGGCUCUGCGCUCAGCAUCCCCACCCGCACAGUUGUCUCUGCCGCUGGCGUUUCUGGCUAAGCUGCCUCUGAAGGAGGGGCAGGUCUGCCAUCCCUAAACACACACAGAGAAACACACACAGACAUGCACACACUCCCACACACACACCAAGAUGCACCUUCCUGCAAGGCCCAGACACAGAGCCGCCAAGCCCCAGGUGCCCACGCUGAGCGGCAGGGAGUGGGAGAGGGGCAGGGGCAGGAGGAGAGAGCUGCAGAGAGAAAGACUGAGGGUGCAAAACAAACGCGGAGCCGAGCAGACAUUUCUCAGCCUGUUAAUUUCCUACAGUUCUGUUUUCCAGCCUCAGAAACAAGCUGGUUUCUGCCAGUCCACCCCCUUCCCUCUGACUGCAUUGUGCAGCUGCUGAGCAGAGAGAAGUUGCAGGGAGGAGGGGGUUCCAGAGGAGAAGCGAAGAGACUCAGGUUUUCAUACGAUUUAUCAAAGUACAGGCAAGAUGCAGAGAUGCUUCUGAAGCUGUGACCCCAAAAAGAAGCUCAACUGGGAGAUUUGCAGGCUGGACCAGUCUAACCCUACAGGUCUGGGCUUCAGGAAGAAGGGAACCUGGGGGUGCUGCAGGGAAUGCUUUGGAGGAGGCUGUUUCAACGGGCUCAGCAACUCCCUCGGUUUGACCCCUGACACAAGCAUGCCUGCUGAAUCUACACCUGGACCUACAGACUUGUAGAGUCCUUUCUGGGGCUGGAUGUUCCCACAGGACAAUGACCAGUCAUGCAUACAGAGCUUUGCUGCCCAAGGGGACUUUCUGAGGGCUGAAUAUUAUUUACUUCAACUCUCCUUUGACAAGGCACCUGAGGCCCAGAUGGGGAAAGUCACACAGGACUGUGAUGGGGCCUGAUCAAGAUCUCCUGAAUCUUCCCAGUGCUGCUUGCUGUGCUUUGUGGCCCUUCCUCUGGCUGUAACUGUAACCCCACCUAUACCUUAGGUUGCACAUGCUCAUACAGCGCUUACCAUGAGCCACCCUCUGAGGCAGGUACUAUUAUGAUUCCCGUUUUACAGCUGGGGAGGCUGAGGCUCAGAGAGGUUAAAUACUUCCCUAAGCUAGUAUGUGGUCGAGCUAGAAUUUGAAACCAGAAUGUCCUGCCCCAGAAUCUAGACUCCUAACCACUGGGCUGUGCUACCUCUCUUCUCUGGAAGCUUCACCUGUACCUGGACACAUUUACCUUCACUUUCCUCUUCUCCUGACCUUAGCUUUCACCACCACCUUCACAAUUUCUCAUUUCAGGCUAAGCCAGAUAAUCACCCCAGACACAAGGGCAGGCUCAGCACUGCUAUCAAAAUCCCUUUUCCUUUUAUCUUCUCCAUCACCAUUUUAGCCUUAUCGCGUUCACUAUCAUGAUCAACUUCACCAUUUAUAAAGUCUCUAAUUGCAAAUGACUGUGUACCUAUAGACCAAUGCAGAUCUAACCCCUGCCUUGGGAUGGGAGGAUGGGGCUUACAGUCAAACCAAACAGCAGUUUAAGCCACAUAUACUCCUCCCUUUGUAAGUAAAGGUACGAAACCAGAAUGUGGAAGGCAGUCUUCUUCUUAAGAUAUUUUUCUGCAAUAAGAUGAAGGUGGUGAAGGAGAAGUUUCGAACAGCCAAAGAGUGCCUGCUGAGGGAAAUUAAUCAAUGGCCAAGAAGAUUGCUUGUCAUCUUUCAAUAUCUAUAAGAAAUAACGAGCCUCCAGAGAGGGGGCUAGAGCUCCAAGGGAAAAGAAGACCAGUGGGUACUCUGUCCAACUCAUGCCUCUAAGGAGCUACAGGAGAAAGAUGGAGCCAUAGGCAGCUUCCACCCCUUUGGGUGGUGGCCAACACCCAUCUCCCCAGCCACAGUAUCUCUCACAGCCCCUGGGGAAGCCAGAAGCAAGCAACACUGCCCAGGAGUUUUAAAACUGAUUCUUCCCUUAAGCUCAAGUCCCACCCACCUCCCAACCCAAUGAGCUUGCUGGUUGGCUGUCCAUGAGUGUUGGCUGCCAGAGGUGCCAUCAUCCGGCACAGGAUCUACAGGAAAGAGGGCAAUGGCUUCCCAGACCAGAGUCUCCACCCAGAAUUCCAGCCAAGGCCCCAGAGCUCCCAGGACCUGGAGAAUUUGUUCCCCCUGGUUGUGUUUGGAAUUGGCUGGUUUUCUGGGCACCAGGCCCAGCUCAGUUUAAUUUUUGUUUAUUUUUAUGUACAGAUUCUCUUCUGUUUGGGGAUGAGCUUUGUGUAAAUUAUUAUUAUUUAUAUGAUAAAGAAUAAAUCACACCAAAUAAAAAAACCCACAAUCUCUUUUUCUCAAUAGAAUUACUAAAUUAGGGGCUGAAAGGAACAGCCGAUAUGCUGGGGUUUGGUUUCAGGAAGGCUUUGGACAUGGAUUCUCGCAAAACGUCUUAGUAAAUGGGCUCUGUUAUCCUGGAUUUGAUGCUACCCACAGUCCGCAGAGGCAUAAGGGGCCUCCCAGAAAGAUGGCAGUGGUUCAGGCCUAAGGGUGGCUUCCUGGCCCUCCAGACAUCCCACCCUUGGAGAGAUGAGUCGGGCAUUUUGAAGUGAUUCGCUAACUCAGAAUGGGGAAAAAAAGGGAAAACAGGAGUUGGGGAUUCUUGCCAGAACAUGAUCAAAUGCCCUGAACUGGGGUGGGGGUAGGGUUCAUAGGAGUUACUUGAAUAGUGGCAUUAUUACAUCAGGGAAAAUGAGCCAAUCAUUUCUUUGCCUAUUCAUUAAAUUUGCAUGCUAAGACUCUAUUGGUUGGAAUGAAAUGAGUCAGGAGGCAGGGAUGCAGAUGGGCAGAGGACCAGCUGGGCCUGGAAAGUGUCCCCAAGUGGCCCCCAUCCCAGCCAGGAUUAAAACACCGGCCUCUUCUUAUUAAUCCUGCGUUUCAAAAGCUUGUAAAUCCUGCACAGCCGGAAGAGAUAAAAGCCGGCUCAUCCCCAUCCCAGGGCUGACAUUCUUGCACUGACAGUGGCUCAGCGGCUCGACUUCUGUAUGCACACGCGUGUGCUCUGGGCCCACCCACCGCCCAGCUGCACCAACAGCUGCAGGGGUCCUCAGAGGGAUGCGGUGGGGAGAAGGAAGAUAAUUCCAUAGAGAAGGAAAAGAAGGAGGAUCACAGAGAAGAAAGGCAGAAGCAGAAAACCUGAGACCAAACAGGCUGAGUAGUUUCGGAGCCCUCUUGGCAGACUCUGACAGCCACACGGAGAGCACCUAUUGCAAUCCUCAGUGGAUGCUCAAAGCCCUUCUGUAUUGCCCUCAGGCUCUAUUUACAUACUCCCAGGGACAGGGAGCUCACUGGCUAUGGAGGCAGCCUUUUAUAUUACUGCAAAGAGAGCUUCUUCAGUAGGAGUUCAUAUUCACUUUCAGCCUUCCUUUGGCAAAUGCCAGACCUUUGGAAAUCUGAAGGCUGCCAUUCCAGCUUCCUGAUGACACCUUCGGUCUCAAGCUAACCUUCCCCAUCCUUCCUCCAGGCCUCAUGCGUCAGUGGGCUGAGCCCUUCCUUCAUCCUAGUUCCCCUGCUCAGUGCCACCGGGGUGUGUCAGAGAACCAGUAAAGGUGGCUCCAAUGCUGACCACAGUCCUUCCUGUGGUGCAGCCGGAACAGAGGCCAGCUAGGCCCUCCUCCCAUCUGGGGAUCAGAAACCAUUACUGAAGGUUUGAGAAGAAAAAUCACAGUGACCUUGAAUGUCUCUCCCAAGGUCAUUGCAAAAAAUAAUAUCUGUUGUCAUUUAUUGAACUUUUACUCUACAGUAGGUACCCUGUUUACAUCCCUUAUCUUGUUCAAUCCCAUAAGAGUUGUUCCAUUAUUAUUCCAUCUUGCAGAUGAAGUAAAACUUGGAGUGAUUAAGCUAACUUGGCCAUGGUCACACAGCUAAGUAAGUGGUGAAGUCAGAAUUUGAACCUGGUACUGACUCUGAAGCCCUUGCUUUUAAUCUGUGGAUGUUCUCCCCAACUAUUUGGAAACAAAAGUGGUUUUUUUAGUCAAGUGGGCCCCCAAAGUCAGAGAGACUGCUGUCCGUGAAGCUAAAAUAUUUUCUCCAGGAUUGGACUAAUGGUUUCCCACCAUGGGCUUUCCAGGUGGGGGUAGAGCUGGGGUAGAGAUCUCUGGCAUUUUGGUUUAUACUUGCUGAAUAUUUCUUUAGGUCGAGGAGGAAGAUAGUGUUCAUAACACUUACUGAAUAUUCCAUCUGCCAGGUUCUAUUCAUCUCUUUUAAUCUUCACCAUGACUCUGUGCAGUGGAUGCUAGCCCCAUUUUAAAGAGUAGCAAACUGAGGCUCUAAGAGGUUAAGUCACUGGCAUUUAUGCUUAUAGCUUGUGAGUUUUGGAGCUUGUCCGUGAUGUUUCCUAAGAGGAGAUGAAACGCAACACUUACUUUUAUGGAAUGAGGUGUUGCCGGAUUUUUUUUAGAAAGGGCAGGUGCGUGUGUGUGUGUGGGGGGGGUGGGUGGUAAAUGGGAGAGGAAUAAUCUUCAAGAAACACAGAAUUGGGGAGGGGAGCUGAGCGGCUUUCUUCUUUUUUUGAAAUGCACAAAUGGGAAAUUUAACUUGAUCCCUUGUGGCUUCUGGGCCAACCCCUGAGUGAAGUCGGAUCACUUUUGCAAAGGAAAAUUUUAUCCGUUUUUUGGCUUUUAUGGGGCUUCCUCAAUGAGCAAAACCUCUCCUGUUGGUGCUUAGAGAGGAUUUCUCUGCUUGGCCUACGGUGAUGCCGUGUAAUCUCCCAAAAAAUAUGGUGCUAAUAUUCGCCGGGUUAGGGUUAGUUAUUUUUAUGUCUUUGUCAUUUUGUUUCUCGGCAGCUCUUUCUGCUGCCUGGAAAGGACGCGGCGGACACUUUACUUCCAGAGUCAUAUUUUUUAAUUUGAUCAAAGCAAAUUUCACUCGUUCUCUGUAUAAAUUAUUUAACUCAUUUCUUUUAGGUUAAAUGUCUCAAUAGAAAGAUAGAAAGUCUUUCCAUCACAUUUUCUUCCAGGAUUUUAAUCAGCUCCUGUAGAUUGUAUGAACUUCUUUCUCAGUCCUCCAUCCUUCUCUGUCUUAAGUCUCUCUCCCUUCCUCCCUCUCUCUCCCUAUCCGCUCUUCUCCGGCCUCUGCCCCCAACUCCUCCUGAGUCCUGGGGCUCAGCCCCAGCCUCCAUUCCCUUAUGGCUCUGGGUGGGGAGAAUGGGGGCAACUUGAACAUGCAGGGCUUUAGGAGCACACACCAACCCCCUUCAGUUGGAUGAGUUACCAAAGGCACCCUUCCUCUGAGCUGACCCAGCCCACAGCCCUGACAGCAGCGUCAGGGCUCAAUGGCAGGCCCUGCUUGUCCCCCUCAGCCAGAUCUCUGUGCACAACCACAAGCUGCUGCUCCUGCCUCUGCCAAGACCUGUGCCUGCCCGCCCCCCGCCCCCGCACCCGCCCAACUCCCAUUUCCCCUCUAGGGCUGCAGUCUCAGGCUGAAUUUAAAUGUAGCAGCCUCUCCCCAAAUUCCAGCUGUUUCCUAAUAAAAAUUCCAUCCUACUCAAUCAAUGCUCCUUGUCACAGGCCAGGUUUCCUUGUGUCUUAUUUCACUCUGGUCUGGUUCCCUCGGUCCCAGGGCUCCUCAGGCAGACCCCUCCUCCUCAGAGGCUUGAAGCCUCCCUCUGACAAUAGUGCAGGGCUGGGGAUAGAAGACCCGGGCAGAGGUUUUGGAGUUAAGUGGGGUGCUACAGAGGACUCCCUCCAGGGAUGGGCUUGGGCUCUGUGGGGGGCCCCUGCCUCCCACCUUGGCAGCCCCAUCUCUGGCCCCAGGCACUGUCAAGGGAACAGAAAGCAGCAGGGCAAGCUCAUUACCCGUGAACACUCUUCCUUCCCUCAUAUCACAUUGUUUCAGCCAAGAACAAGUCUCCAGUGGGAAUUCCCUUUCGUCUUACUUUUAAAAUAUACAGUAAUUAACAAACUAAUGCUAUUAACUGCAACAACGAGGAAAUUACAGUAAAAUCGCUGCAGAGUCCACAAGCAGUGGGUGUAGGGACCGGUGGGUCCUGGCUCCGUGUGGAGGGGAGGGACCCAGUCUGGGCCCAGGUGUCAUCAUCUCAGCCACAGCAGGGCCCUCUCAGGCUGGGAAACUUCUGCCAGAGCUGGUGAGUCCUCUGCAGGUCAAGCCAGGGCUUGGACACAGCUACUUCAUUUCCUGUGCAGGAAGAGUCAGGAUCCCGGUCAUUCUUCCAGCCCCGGAGGUUUGCUCUUUUAUGAAACACUUAAAUAAUAGAGCUGUGGCCCAGUGCUGACCUGGGCAUGUCUGUGAGGACAUGGCCUCUGCUUCAGGGUCACCGUAGGUUCCGACAAGGCCUCCAGAGGAUGAAGCUCAAAGAAAGCCUCGGGGAGGGACUGCUGUGCCUCCGCUGCCUCCUUCUCUGGUCCUGCGGAAGCAUCUUCAGGGUCUCCCUGUCCAUCCUUCUGCCUUCCUUCCAGCACAGUCAGGCUGUGCGUCCCUUCCUGGGGUUUUACUCAGGUACAGCCAAAGAUAUCAGGAAGGACUAGGCCUGUUGUUGCCUGAUUGCCUGGAAGUCUGUUUCCAGUCUGACUUCAGUCUUUCAUGCUGUAGUCCUCUGUAAUUUCCUCUGGUGAGUUCCCAGCAAGCCUAGUUGAUAAAUUCCAGGAUCCUCUCCCACUCUUGCCUCUUUCCCUCAGGUUUUACAAUCUCCUUGUCAGUCCUUAAAUUCUCUUCCCCCAUCAGGGAGCCAUGGUCACCAGAAAGAGCAACCUGUUCUCAUUCUCCCUCUCUAAACUUUCUCCCAGAGGCCACUCAUUGCCUUGCAUACCAACAAAUGUCUGCUCAGAACUUUUAGAAGUUCUGUUCAGAUACCCACAGAGAAGUUGCGUGCUUAUCCCAUUUUACAGAUGAGGAAAACAAGGCUCAGAGAGGUUAAGUGGCUUGUUUGAGAUCACAUAGCCAGGCAGAAGCAUCGUCAGGACUAGAACUGUGGUUAUGUUUUCUGCAGGUUCCCACCUUCCUUGUCUCUUCUUGGCUCUUAAGGGAACAGAUACUCCAGGGGAGAAGAGAUAAACCUGGCUUUCCUUUAUCUCCGUGGCCAUGCUGGCCUGUGGAGGUGAACAAAAAAUAAAAAGAUAGCUCAUCUCAUGUUUCUCAUUACGACAGCCAGCAUUAUGAAUUGUGCUAUCAUAAUGCAGAUUGUGUACACGGGGAAACUGAGGCUUAGAGAAGCACAGAGCUUUGCCCAAGGUCACAGGGCUGGUGGUGACCAGAGUCAGAACUUAAACCCAGUCCUGUCUGCCUGCAGAGCCCACCCCUGCCCUUAGCCACUCGCCUGAAGGGUAAGACCCAGCCCGACUUGAAGUCCAGCCGGGCUGAGUGUGGAGUCCGAGAACCUCAUUAGGAGUGAAGCUGCCACAUGUGUCAAAACCCCUGCCAGCCCCACUCCAACUUGCAGCACACAGUGUAAACAUCCUUACUAAUUCACCAAACUCAAUCACGUUACCGGGAUGGAUUUUCCCAUCAUUACUCCUGAGUGAGUGACAACCUGCUCAGACACUUGCCUUCCCCGCUGCCUUGGGAGAGUCUCAGAAAUCAGAAUGCUUCACUCCCUAAGUUGAUUUCAACUUGUCCUAAAGUCAUUUUAAUUGGUGAAGUGUCAGAGGCAAUUUGGGUGACUUUCUGAGAGCCCCUUCGCACCAGCACUGGGCUGGCAGGGAGCGGGGCUCGAAUGCUCCCUCCACCCUUGGUGGGCACUUUCCCCUCUGCUGACUGGUCAGGAGGCCGUGCUCUGUGCUUUAUUUUCGUGUUUCUUGCUGAAGUUCCUCUGGCUGGUUCCUGAGGAUAACAAGAUUCAUUUUCUCAAUGGCUCUGACAGAUAGGAUUGUUAUUGUUAUUACACUCAUAUACCACCUUUCCUCCGAGGAGCUUAAGGCGCUUUACAAAUUUGAAAAUUAUCUAAUAAUCUUCCAGCAACCCUGAGAGAGAGGGAGAAGCUGCAGUUAGAGGCACUGCAGUGCAGCCAAAGGGCGUCCACACUCCUUGCCCCGACCAGGGAUGGUGGGCAUGUGGCCAUGUUUGGGCUGCGGACACUUGGGGCUUGAGGCCUCCUGUGGCUCCUGCUGAAUAAGGAAGAGGGAGAUGCCUUGCUGGGAGGAGAGAGAGAGAAGAAGGGAGGAAGGAAGAGAGGAAGGGAGGGAGACAGACCCAGCUCCAAAGGACAAAAUCCAAUGGGAGGGAGCUCAGGCAAGGAGAGUUUUCUUUAAAGACACAAGAAAUGAGAGGAAGCAGGAGGCUCCCAGGGGCUUGCGGGUAGGAUAGCUGAAAUUCAAAAUGGAGAUCUACCAAAGCAGCAACUAGGCUGGUUGCAAAGGACCCAGCUCAGGCAUGAGAACAUGGGCAGAAAUAUCAACAGAACUCAAAUUGCAAAUUUAGGUGGUUGCUCUGAGGUGGGUGUGGGAAGCCUCUGUGGACCUCCUUUUUUUUUUCACCUGUGAGCUGAGAGGUAUGGCAUUAGGUCUCUGCUAGCCUGACAUCCUAUGAUUCUGUCUUCCUUAAAAUUUCCUCUUACCAGAGGUGCCCAUAGUAAUUGCAGCACCUUUACUAAGCGUGAAGGGAAAGCUACUAUCAAAGUGACAGAAGGGCUCAACUACAUUGCCAUUAUUUUCUUGAGAAGAAGGUGUGCAAGACACCGCCUUAUUUGAAGCUGUCCUUUUGGGAUUAGGGAUUUUGAUGGUUCUAGGCAGUAGCCUUUUGGGAACCAAGUAUGGCAUUAUGGUUAAGAGCUGGUAUCUGAGAUCAGACAAACAUGGUGACCUUGAGCAAAUAACACAACCACUUGGACCCUCAGUUUUCUUGUCUAUUCAAGAAUAAUGAUCAUGAUGACCUGAGGAUGCUGUAAGGAUGAACUGAGAGGAUGUGUAUAAAGUGCUUGGUGCAGUGCCUGGCACAGCCAGCCAUGAAGCUGAAGAUGAGAAGAAGAGAAUACGGAUGCUGGCAGUAGGGUUUCUUCUAAACACCUGUCCUCCCUUAAGGGCUGGGACAGCCCUGGUAAGAUUCAGGGGAAAUUAGCAGGCUGGGGAUUCAGGUGGGAAGGGUGAGGCAGGGCUGAAGACCUGGCAUGAUGGCCUCUGAGGCAUCUAUUCUUCAUCCUCUCCCUGCACCAGGACCACCAGAUCAUGGCUGUUAUCCUAAUUCUCUUCACUGCCUUUUCCACUGCCCUAUCUUCCCCUGCAGCCAUGCCUGGUGCUAGAGUUGCAUCAUGAGCCGAGCCUCUAGAAAAGGCCUGUGGUUCCCCCUCUGCUUUGGCUGGUGUCAGGGGCCUUGCUGAGGGGCCCAAGGGAGGACAUUAGGAGGUGAAGGUGGUUCUAUAGACUGGAGUCUGAAAGGCAGAUUGCAGAGGAAGAACAGUGAGCUGGAGAGAAGACAGAGAAGCUGUGGAGGGUGGAGAGAGAAUGCAAGACAAGGAGGCCCUUGUAGUUCUCUCAUUCUAUGAAAAUGAGACGCAGUAAAUACUCACUAGAUGGGAACUAUUAUUAAUACAUAUUUCUAAAAAAUAAUUAAGAAAUUCCAAAACGUUCAGUUCUUCAAGAUGCUGUGGAGCUAAUAUCAUUCAUUCAUUAUCACUUAGGCAUUCAUUCAACAAAUAUUAUUAAGCACUGACUCUGUGUCAGACCCUAUGCUAGCCACUGGAGUACAAUGAUGAGCAAAAACAGACAUGAACCCUGCCUCAUAGAGCUUAGAGUCUAGUAAGGGAGAGAGACAUUGAAUAGGCAAAUGUACAAAUGAAAUAACUUUAAGGCCAGGUGUGGUGGCUCAUGUUUGGAAUCCCAGCACUUUGGGAGGCUGAGACAGGUGGAUCACGUGAGGUCAGGAGUUUGAGUUUGAGACCAGCCUGGCCAACAUGGCAAAACCCUGUCUCUACUAAAAAUAAAAAAAAAAUUAGCUAAGCAUGGUGGUGCCCGCCUGUAGUCCCAGCUACUUGGGAGGCUGAGGCAGGAGAAUCACUUGAACCUGGGAGGCAGAGGUUGCAGUGAGCUGAGAUCGUGCCAUUGCACUCCAGCCUAGGCGACAGAGCAAAACUCCAUCUCAAUAAUAAUAAUAAUAAUAAUAUGAAAAAACAUUAAAUGUGCUUUGUUCAUUUCAUCAUGUAUUUAACAGUAUGUGGGAGAGCAAAACUGAGGGGACCAACCCUAGAGGGCUGUGGAAGUGCUAGUUAAGAUAAGAUCUAAAGGCCAGAUGGGGGCCGCCCCGGUGGCUCACGACUGUAAUCCCAGCACUUUGGGAGGCUGAAGCAGGUGGAUCACCUGAGGUCAGGAGUUUGAGACCAGCCUGGCCCACAUGGGGAAACCUCGUCUCUACUAAAAAUACAAAAAUUAGCCAGGCGUGGUGUGCACCUGUAAUCCCAGCCACUCAGGAGACUGAGUCAGAAUUGCUUGAACCUGGGAGGCGGAGGUUGCAGUGAGCCAAGAUUGAGCCAUUACACUCCAGCCUGGGUGACAGAGCCAGACUCCAUCUCAAAAAUAAAUAAAUAAAUAAAAAAUAAAGGUCGGAUGGGAACUGUCCAGCCACAGACUGAAGAGGGAGGGCAGAGGGGACAGUGAUACAGAGACCAAUGGACAGGGUCAGCAGGGUGUGGGCCAUGUAGGGCCUUGGAAAAAGGUAAAACUUUUUUUUUUUUUUUUUUUACUCUUAAGUACAAUGGGAAGUUACUGAAGGGGAAUGAUUUGAGUUUUUCAUGAUCCCCCUGGUUUUUGAACGAAGAAUGGAAUGGGGAGGGGGAUAGGAGUAGAAGUCACAAGACCAGUGAGCAGGCUAUUUCAGGAGCUUACAGAGUGGCGAGCCUCACAUAAUGUCUACCCUCCACUCAGUCAGGGUCUAGAAUACAGUGAUUCUCAAUGUUGGUUAAGCAUUAGAUUCACUCAGUGAGUUUUAAGAAUGCUGAUGCCUAGGCUGCACCCAGACCACUUAAAUCAGGGUCUCUGAGGCUAGGACCCCGCAUCAGUCCUUUCUGAAGCUCCCCAGAUGAUUCUAAUGUACUGUCCCAACACAAUCUCCAUCUCCAAGAAGAGGGGGAAGGGAAUUCCUUUGGCUGAGCACCUACUAUGUGUCUGUGGCUAUGCCAGUUUAAUUUGCUUACAUUAGUUCAGUGAAUCCCCACCACAACUGUGAGAGAUGGGCAUUAUCGUACCUACUUUAUGGAUGGGGAAACUGAGACUCAAAGUAUUUUGCUUCCCUUCCCCUUGGCCUUGAGAAAGUCACUUAAGCCUCUUUAAGACUCGGUUUCUUUGUGUAAAUUGGAGUUAAUUUCUAAUCCAUAGAAUUGUCAGGAGAAUUAAACAAGGCAGGGCUGCCUACAUCUGGAACAUAUUAAGAGUUCAAUAGAUUGUAACUAUUAUUAGCAGAGCCCCAGGCCCCAGAGUAAGUAAGAGGCGGAGGCAGGCUAUGAGCCACCAUACUGCACUGUCCCCCAUCGCACAGCUGCCAGCUCCACGGAAGGAGGCUGAAUUCUGGCUUGUUCCUGUGGAUUCCCGGUGAGUCCCAGCCCAGGCACAAGGAUCAGAGCACCCUGACCAUGCCUCCAAGUCAGCAUCUACAGCAGACACUCUGCCACACGGUUGCAGUUUCAGUAGGCCCUCUCCGCUUUUCUCUGAAUUAUGAUUCCCCUUCGCAAAUAGGGGCAAGUGGCUUGCCCAAAGGCAUAAACUAAGUUAAAGACAGCUAGGGAUGAGGGCAGGUUUCCUGCCUAAGACAUUUUCCUCUUCCACAAGGGAGGAGAGGGGAAGAUGAGGCUUGUCGCAUUGGGGGAGAUAUUAUUAAUAUAUCUUUUAAGAAAUUCCAAAACAUCCAGCCCUCUAAGAUACUGUGGACCUGAUAUCAUUGAUUCAUUAUCAUUUAUUCAUUCAUAUCACUAGAGUUAGUGCUGGGGCACCAAGAAGGGUGGGUGGUCUGAGGGCAAAGGCCGGGGCCAAGGCACUUCCCAGCGCUGGUGGUGGUUCCAGCAGAGCCUGGGUGGACCCAGCACCAUGAGAGUUCCCACUGCUAUCCCUCAUCCCAGAGAGGACGCCCAGCUGGAGCUCAGACAUUUUUGUCUAGGUCUACUCUGCCCAUGCUGGGGACCCUGUGGGUCCCCCAGCCAUGUCAGUAAAGCAGAGUGACUAUGAACACAGGCUCUGAAGUCAGGAAGAUGUAAACUUCAAUCCCAGCCCUGACUCUUUUGAGCUGCAAUACCUGGUAUAGGUCUCUUAACUUCUCUAAGCCUCAGUUUCCUCAUCUGUAAAAUGGAAAUAAGUGAAAAAUAAUGUAGAUCAAUUUGAUUGAUAAGGAAGGAGCUCCAAUAUAUAUUAUUCUUUGAAAACAAAAUGAAACCAAGAUGCAGAACCGUUUUAAUAUAGUAUGAAGCAAACCAAAUGAUUAAAAAGGGAUAUCUCUAUGUGGCGGGGUGGGGGCGGGGCUUGCAUAUCAUAGACUAUAUCAGAAAGUCCACAAAACAAUGGAAACACUGCUUCUUUGUGGAGUAGGGCUGCGGUUGGAGUAGGAAGAAGAGUUACUCUUCAUUGAGUAUAGCUGGUACUAUUUGAGUUGUUUACUUUGUGAAGAUUUUAUUUUUUCAAUUAAACUACUUUUUAAAAAUUGGGUUAAUAAUACUUAGAGGGUUGACUUGAGGAUUAAAUGAAUUAGUGCAUGUAAAGUGCUUAGUACAAUGCCUAGCACAGAGCAAGUAUUCAAUUCCACACCGCAGAUAUUUAUUGGGCCUGUGAUAGAUUCAACUGGUCCUAAUUCUUCACUGCUUCCACCACUUCCAUGCCCUUGCCAGGGCAUCAGCACCUUCUUUGGCCAAGGGGGAGCUGGCAUAGUCAGGCAUGCUCUUUUGCAUUCCUGUCUUUUAAAGAA